GACUCGUUAGCUCAUCUGGAUAGAGCGCAAGUUUCCUAAACUUGAGGCAGCUGGUUCGAGUCCAGCACGGGUCA
rnacentral:tRNA from 1 species